rnacentral:rRNA from 1 species
GAUCAUGGCUCAGGACGAACGCUGGCGGCGUGCUUAACACAUGCAAGUCGAGCGAUGAAGCUCUUCGGAAGUGGAUUAGCGGCGGACGGGUGAGUAACACGUGGGUAACCUGCCUCAUAGAGGGGAAUAGCCUUCCGAAAGGAAGAUUAAUACCGCAUAAGAUUGUAAUAUCGCAUGAUAUAGCAAUUAAAGGAGCAAUCCGCUAUGAGAUGGACCCGCGUCGCAUUAGCUAGUUGGUGAGGUAACGGCUCACCAAGGCGACGAUGCGUAGCCGACCUGAGAGGGUGAUCGGCCACAUUGGGACUGAGACACGGCCCAGACUCCUACGGGAGGCAGCAGUGGGGAAUAUUGCACAAUGGGGGAAACCCUGAUGCAGCCAACGCCGCGUGAGUGAUGACGGUCUUCGGAUUGUAAAGCUCUGUCUUCAGGGACGAUAAUGACGGUACCUGAGGAGGAAGCCACGGCUAACUACGUGCCAGCCGCAGC